UGAGGAAUAUUGGUCAAUGGUCGCAAGACUGAACCAGCCAAGUAGCGUGAGGGAAGACUGCCCUAUGGGUUGUAAACCUCUUUUAUCUGGGAAUAAAGUGAGCCACGUGUGGCUUAUUGCAGGUACCAGAAGAAUAAGGACCGGCUAAUUCCGUGCCAGCAGCCGCGGUAAUACGGAAGGUCCAGGCGUUAUCCGGAUUUAUUGGGUUUAAAGGGAGCGUAGGCGGCUUGGUAAGCGGGCAGUGAAAUGCAGAGGCUCAACCUCAGACUUGCGGUUGGAACUGCCAGGCUUGAGUACGCACGAGGUAGGCGGAAUUUGUGGUGUAGCGGUGAAAUGCUUAGAUAUCACAAAGAACUCCGAUUGCGAAGGCAGCUUACCGGAGCGCAACUGACGCUGAAGCUCGAAAGUGCGGGUAUCGAACA
rnacentral:rRNA from 1 species